AGAGGCUAACGCAGGGAACUGAAACAUCUUAGUACCUGCAGGAAGAGAAAAUAACAAUGAUUCCCCCAGUAGUGGCGAGCGACCGGGGAAGAGCCCAAACCGGCGUUGUGUCAACGCAAUGCCGGGGUUGUAGGACCACGCCGUGGUACAUUGAAUGCGAGCGGAAGAUACUGGAAAGUGUCUCCAUAGAGGGUGACAGGCCCGUACGCGAAGCAUGAGAUGGCCUAGUGGUAUCCUGAGUAACGCGGGACACGAGUAAUCCUGCGCGAAUCCGCCGGGCCCAUCCGGCAAGGCUAAAUACUCCCGUGAGACCGAUAGCGAACCAGUACCGUGAGGGAAAGGUGAAAAGAACCCCCAUGAGGGGAGUGCAAGAGAUCCUGAAACCAUGCGCCUACAAGCGGUCGGAGCAUCAUUGUGAUGUGACGGCGUGCCUUUUGCAUAAUGAACCUACGAGUUGCCGUCACUGGCGAGGUUAAUUGUGAUGACACAAGCAGCCGCAGUGAAAGCGAGCCUGAAGAGGGCGUACAGUCAGUGGAGGCAGACGCGAAACCGAGUGAUCUACACUUGGCCAGGAUGAAGUCCCGGUAACACGGGAUGGAGGUCCGCACCGAUAAGCGUUGAAAAGCUUCCGGAUGAGCCGAGUGUAGGAGUGAAAGGCCAAUCAAACUCGGAGAUAGCUCGUACUCCCCGAAAGGCAUUUAGGUGCCGCGUCUGGCGUUCAGCAUGAGAGGUAGAGCGACCGAUAGGAUGCGAGGGCUUCACCGCCUGUCAAGUCCUGACGAACUCCGAAUGCUCAUGCUCGGUAGCCAUGCAGUAAGGGGACGGGUGCUAAGGUCCGUUCCCGAGAGGAGAAGAAUCCAGACCGCCGUCUAAGGUCCCGAAGUUCUGUCUGAGUUAGUCUAACGAAGUCCCGUUGCAGUGACAGCCAGGAUGUUGGCUUGGAAGCAGCCAUUCAUUCAAAGAGUGCGUAACAGCUCACUGGUCGAGUGAUGGGGCGUGGAUAAUAAUCGGGUAUAAGUCAGACACCGAAGGCGCGGGAUAGUAUAUUGAUUUAUAGUAUCGGUAGGGGAGCAUUCCAUCGGCGCGGAAUCCGCGGAGACGAUUUGCGGUGGAGCCAAUGGAAAAGCAAAUGUAGGUAUAAGUAACGAUAAGGAGGGUGAGAUUCCCUCCCGCCGAAAGACCGAGGUUUCCCGGGCAAUGUCAAUCAUCCCGGGGUCAGUCGGGUCCUAAGUCUCAGCCGAAGGGCGAAGGCGAUGGCAGACACGGUUAAUAUUCCGUGACUGCCGCAAGGAGUGAUGCGGUGACGGAGCAGUGACACGGCCGCGGGGUGACGGAAAUCCCCGUUGACAGGUGUAGGAGUUGAUCCGUGCAGUGAAGUACACACGGAGAUCCGAACCUUAGAGUACGGCGUUCCCCUCGGGGAAGGCCGAUAGUGCCGGUAACCAUACUCCCGAGAAAACCCGCUAAACUUCAAUCCUUGCGGCACCCGUACCGCAAACGGACACACGUGGUCGAGUUGAAUAUACUAAGGCGUUGAGCGAUUCAUGGUUAAGGAACUAGGCAAACUGACCCCGUAACUUCGGGAUAAGGGGUCCUCACAUGUUGUGAGGCGCAGAGAAUAGGUCCAGGCAACUGUUUAACAAAAACACAGGGCUGUGCGAACUCGAAAGAUGAAGUAUACAGCCUGACACCUGCCCGGUGCCGGAAGGUUAAGAGGAGGGCUCACCAGUGAUGGGAAGGUCUGAAUUGAAGCCCCGGUAAACGGCGGCCGUAACUAUAACGGUCCUAAGGUAGCGAAAUUCCUUGUCGGGUAAGUUCCGACCUGCACGAAUGGUGUAAUGAUCCGGACACUGUCUCAACCAUGAUCUCAGUGAAAUUGUAGUAUCGGUGAAGAUGCCGAUUACCCGCGAUGGGACGAAAAGACCCCGUGAACCUUUACUGCAGCUUAGCACUGACCUUGGUCAUCCGAUGUGUAGGAUAGGCCGGAGGCUUCGAAGCGGUGACGCCAGUCAUCGUGGAGCCGUCCUUGAAAUACGGCCCUUUGGCUGUCUGAGGUCUAACGCGCGUUAGUGUGCGGACACUGCUUGGCGGGCAGUUUGACUGGGGUGGUCGCCUCCAAAAGCGUAACGGAGGCUUCCAAAGGUGCCCUCAGGCCGAUCGGUAACCGGCCUUUCAGAGUGCAAUGGCAUAAGGGCGCUUGACUGGGAGGGAGACAUCCCGAGCAGGCAGGAAACUGGGGCAUAGUGAUCCGGUGCAAGUGUAUGGAAACUGCAUCGCUCAAAGGAUAAAAGGUACUCCGGGGAUAACAGGCUGAUCCCCCCCAAGAGCUCAUAUCGACGGGGUGGUUUGGCACCUCGAUGUCGGCUCGUCACAUCCUGGGGCUGGAGAAGGUCCCAAGGGUUGGGCUGUUCGCCCAUUAAAGUGGCACGCGAGCUGGGUUCAGAACGUCGUGAGACAGUUCGGUCUCUAUCUAUCGUGGGCGCAGGAGUCUUGCGUGGAUCCGCCACUAGUACGAGAGGACCGUGGUGGACGGACCUCCGGUUUGCCGGUUGUGCCGCCAGGUGCACCGCCGGGUAUCCGCGUCCGGAACGGAUAAGCGCUGAAAGCAUCUAAGUGCGAAGCCGGCCUCAAGAUUAGGACUCCAUAUGAGGGUCGUCGCAGACUACGACGUCGAUAGGGCGCAGGUGUACAGACGGCGACGUCAAAGCCGAGCGCUACUAAUAGCCCGAGAGCUUGCUUU
rnacentral:rRNA from 1 species